GAUGAACGCUGGCGGCGUGCCUAAUACAUGCCAGUCGAGCGAACGGACGAGAAGCUUGCUUCUCUGAUGUUAGCGGCGGACGGGUGAGUAACACGUGGAUAACCUACCUAUAAGACUGGGGUAACUUCGGGAAACCGGAGCUAAUACCGGAUAAUAUUUUGAACCGCAUGGUUCAAAAGUGAAAGACGGUCUUGCUGUCACUUAUAGAUGGAUCCGCGUUGCAUUAGCUAGUUGGUAAGGUAACGGCCUACCAAGGCAACGAUGCAUAGCCGACCUGAGAGGGUGAUCGGCCACACUGGAACUGAGACACGGUCCAGACUCCUACGGGAGGCAGCAGUAGGGAAUCUUGCGCAAUGGGCGAAAGCCUGACGGAGCAACGCCGCGUGAGUGAUGAAGGUCUUCGGAUCGUAAAACUCUGUUAUUAGGGAAGAACAUAUGUGUAAGUAACUGUGCACAUCUUGACGGUACCUAAUCAGAAAGCCCCGGCUAACUACGUG
rnacentral:rRNA from 1 species